AUUGAACGCUGGCGGCAGGCUUAACACAUGCAAGUCGAACGAGUGGCGGACGGGUGGGUAAUGAUUGGGCAUGUAGCUUGUGGAGGGGGAUAAGUACCGGAAACUAUUGCUAAUACCGCGUACCAUAGGAUGAGCCCAAUUGGGAUUAGGUAGUUGGUGGGGUAAAGGCUCACCAAGACGACGAUCUGUAGCUGGUCUGAGAGGAUGAACAGCCACACUGGGACUGAGACACGGUCCAGACUCCUACGGGAGGCAGCAGUGGGGAAUAUUGCGCAAUGGGGGCAACCCUGACGCAGCCAUGCCGCGUGUAUGAAGAAGGCCUUCGGGUUGUAAAGUUCUUUCAGCGGGGAGGCGUUACCAGCAGAAGAAGCACCGGCUAACUCCGUGCCAGCAGCCGCGGUAAUUC
rnacentral:rRNA from 1 species